UUUACAAAUCAACCGAAAGAAUAAACUACGAAGAGGAAAAUGGCCUGGAAAAAUAUGAUUUCAUACACAUAAGCUUUCCAGACACUCUUGUCUCCUGGCUCCUGUCCAAGCACAGUGGCCAGCCAUCUAGGCAGCCUUCCGCCUUUGUCUGCAGCCCUCCCCUCCUCUCACUCCAGGGGCUCUUUAUUGAUCGCCUCCCCGCCAGACCUUCCGUUGCCAUGGUAACGCCCCCCCCCCCACCGCGUAGUUCUGCACUUUUCUCUCCGAGGCUCAAAACAAGCAUUGCAGAAACGGUUCUUUGGAAUGUGGUGAGUUCCCCCUAGAUACUCUAUGGAAAGAAAAACUGAUUCAUGGUCAAAAUAAUUUUCAGGGGCCAGAUGUGCUGGCUCAUGCCUGUAAUCCCAACACUUUGGAAGUCGAGGCGGGAGGAUCACUUGAGGCUAGCAGUUCGAAAGCAGCCUGGGCAGCAAAGCGAGAUAUCCUCCCUCACCACAAUUUCUAAAAACAAACAAAUAAAUAAAUAAUGAAUGCCCUUGUUCUUGGAAUUUCCUAGCAGUUAUUAGCAUCUUAAAGGCUCAGCGCCUGUUUAACCAAAAGUUUCCCUAACUUCUUUGACCCUGGAAAGCCCUCCACAGCUUUCCCUUUAACAGCUGCAUGUUGCCUUUCGUGGCAACCUUUUUGGAAAACCCUUUCCUUAGCCCUUUUAUAUAACUGUUUGAUGGAUAGCUCUAUCUGGAUGUCACAAAGAUACAUCCAACUCAUCUUGUUCAAAACAGAUCUGAUACUGUCCCUAAAAUCUCAGUUCCUACUCUAAUCUGUCCUUCAACCCUAGGAUUUCCUUCCUUCCUUCUCUCUCUCUUUCUUUUCUUUCCUUCUUUCUUUUUUAUGCUUUUCUUUCUCUUUCUUUCCUUCCUUCCUUUUUCUCUUUGAGACAAGAGCGUUGCCCAGACUGGAGUGCAAGAUGAUGCCAUCUCGGUUCACUGCAACCUCCGCCUCCCAGGAGAAUAGCUUGAACCUGGGAGGAGGAGGCUGCAGUGAGUCGAGAUCCUGCCACUGCUCUCCAGCCUGGGUGACAAGAGCAAGACUCUGUCUCGAAAACAAAAACAACAACAAAAAAACCAAACCAAAUCAAAACAAAAAAACAUAAAGCUGUGGCCGGGCACAGUGGCUCAUGUCUGUAAUCUUAGCACUUUAGGAGGCCGAGGUGAGAGGAUUGCUUGAGCCCGGGACUUCGAGACCAGCCUGGGCAACAUAGCAAGACCCUGUCUCUACAAAAAAUACAAAAAUUGGCUGGGUGUGGUGGUGUGUGACUGUAGUCCCAGUUAUUCAGGAGGCUGAGGUGGGAGGAUCACCUGAGCCUAGGGAGGUGGAGGCUGCAGUAAGCUGUGAUUGAGCCACUGCACUCCAGCCUGGGCCAUAAGUGAGACCCUGUUUCAAAAAGAAAAACGGCUGGAUGAGGUGUCUCACACCUGUAAUCCUAGAACUUUGGGAGUUCGAGGCAGGCAGAUCAUGAGGUCAAGAGAUCGAGACCAUCGUGGCCAACAUGGUGAAACCUUGUCUCUACUAAAAAUACAAAAAUUAGCCAGGUGUGUUGGCGGACACCUGUAGUCCCAGCUACUUGGCAGGCUGAGGCAGGAGAAUCGCUUGAAUCCAGGAAGCGGAGGUUGCAGUGAGCUGAGAUCAAGACACUGCACUCCAGUCUGGUGACAGACCUCAAAAAAAUACAUACAUAAAUAAAUAAUAAAGGCAUGACA
rnacentral:lncRNA from 13 species